GAUGAACGCUGGCGGCGUGCCUAAUACAUGCAAGUCGAGCGAACGGACGAGAAGCUUGCUUCUCUGAUGUUAGCGGCGGACGGGUGAGUAACACGUGGAUAACCUACCUAUAAGACUGGGAUAACUUCGGGAAACCGGAGCUAAUACCGGAUAAUAUUUUGAACCGCAUGGUUCAAAAGUGAAAGACGGUCUUGCUGUCACUUAUAGAUGGAUCCGCGCUGCAUUAGCUAGUUGGUAAGGUAACGGCUUACCAAGGCAACGAUGCAUAGCCGACCUGAGAGGGUGAUCGGCCACACUGGAACUGAGACACGGUCCAGACUCCUACGGGAGGCAGCAGUAGGGAAUCUUCCGCAAUGGGCGAAAACCUGACGGAGCAACGCCGCGUGAGUGAUGAAGGUCUUCGGAUCGUAAAACUCUGUUAUUAGGGAAGAACAUAUGUGUAAGUAACUGUGCACAUCUUGACGGUACCUAAUCAGAAAGCCACGGCUAACUACGUGCCAGCAGCCGCGGUAAUACGUAGGUGGCAAGCGUUAUCCGGAAUUAUUGGGCGUAAAGCGCGCGUAGGCGGUUUUUUAAGUCUGAUGUGAAAGCCCACGGCUCAACCGUGGAGGGUCAUUGGAAACUGGAAAACUUGAGUGCAGAAGAGGAAAGUGGAAUUCCAUGUGUAGCGGUGAAAUGCGCAGAGAUAUGGAGGAACACCAGUGGCGGAGGCGACUUUCUGGUCUGUAACUGACGCUGAUGUGCGAAAGCGUGGGGAUCAAACAGGAUUAGAUACCCUGGUAGUCCACGCUGUAAACGAUGAGUGCUAAGUGUUAGGGGGUUUCCGCCCCUUAGUGCUGCAGCUAACGCAUUAAGCACUCCGCCUGGGGAGUACGACCGCAAGGUUGAAACUCAAAGGAAUUGACGGGGACCCGCACAAGCGGUGGAGCAUGUGGUUUAAUUCGAAGCAACGCGAAGAACCUUACCAAAUCUUGACAUCCUUUGACAACUCUAGAGAUAGAGCCUUCCCCUUCGGGGGACAAAGUGACAGGUGGUGCAUGGUUGUCGCCAGCUCGUGUCGUGAGAUGUUGGGUUAAGUCCCGCAACGAGCGCAACCCUUAAGCUUAGUUGCCAUCAUUAAGUUGGGCACUCUAAGUUGACUGCCGGUGACAAACCGGAGGAAGGUGGGGAUGACGUCAAAUCAUCAUGCCCCUUAUGAUUUGGGCUACACACGUGCUACAAUGGACAAUACAAAGGGCAGCGAAACCGCGAGGUCAAGCAAAUCCCAUAAAGUUGUUCUCAGUUCGGAUUGUAGUCUGCAACUCGACUACAUGAAGCUGGAAUCGCUAGUAAUCGUAGAUCAGCAUGCUACGGUGAAUACGUUCCCGGGUCU
rnacentral:rRNA from 1 species